UUGGUUUUGUUUUUUAAUAUUUUCUCUACCCACUCCCCCAUCUCCCAACACUGUCACUCUCUCUCAUCCCUCACAUCCUCAUUUGCAUUGAUCGUCUAACAAUGGUUGCUAAAACACCCUUUAAAUGAAUUACUUGUACAGGAAUGCCUGUUCCGUCCUGAUUUGAAGAAAAUUUCUUAAGCGGCUGUAACUUCAUGAUCAAAGGGGUCAAGGCGGUGGAGUGGGUUAAUGGUUAUAUGUUCUUGAGUAUCUUAUUUCAUUUUAGUUUUCCUAGCCCAGUGAAUUUGUGCAGAUGUUUGUUGGAAGAGGAGCAGCUCGCAUUAGAGACCUUUUCAAUAUGGCAAGGAACCAUUCACCUUCAAUUAUAUUCAUUGACGAGCUUGAUGCGGUUGGAACGAAGAGUGGCAGAAGUUUCAAUGAUGAGCGUAACCAAGCAUUGAAUCAGGAAUGGAUAUAAAAAAUUUCUGUGUGAAACGAAUCUGCACACUUCGGCUUUGACCCAAGAAAUGCGAAGGAAGGGUGGUUCAGCAGCUUUGCACGAAGGUACCGGGCCAAAGUACGCUAUUCUGGUUUUGAAAUUCAGCAGAUCUUAAUGCCCCUUCUUUUAUUUAUUAUUAAAUUUUAGAGGAGCGGUAUUGGUGGUUUAGGUAAUUAGUUAUUAAAGAAGAAGAAAAUUUGUAACGAUUGACGCACCAAGGUGUAUAUGCAUUAUUAUUUUUUGUUGCUGUGAUAAAGCAUCAUUUGCAAGUCUUCAUAAGUUUAAUUCGGAAGACUGUUUUUUUGGUAAAUAACAUUCUACAAUAAUCUACACUUCUUUUUUUUGUUAAAGAAAUAUCAACUGUUUAAGGUGAAAUUUUAUUGAAACUAAAAGGCAAAUACACCUGAAAGAAAAAAAAAUGAUAGUCUAUACGAAUCUACACUAAGCGAUAUUUGUUCAACUAUGCUGAAUCUGCACUUGCAUACAUAACUCCUCCUUUAUGAAACGAAAAUAAUCUCAAUCUCCCCAUUCACAUGAAAAAUGAGUUAAGGUGACCGGAAUAUCUCCGGUUGAGUGUAAGUAUCUCACAUACGUGUCAUUUCCAACCGUAUAAUAGACAGAAAGCAGAUGAUUAAUGGUUCUUUGACUUUUAAUCUAAUGAGGGUAAUAACGAUACUACUCUGAAAUCUUUGAUAUAUAUGCUGUUAGCUACAAAACUUGUUUACUCAAUAAAAACACACGUUGCAAUUAAUU